GACGAACGCUGGCGGCGUGCCUAAUACAUGCAAGUUGAGCGCUGAAGGUUGGUACUUGUACCGACUGGAUGAGCAGCGAACGGGUGAGUAACGCGUGGGGAAUCUGCCUUUGAGCGGGGGACAACAUUUGGAAACGAAUGCUAAUACCGCAUAAAAACUUUAAACACAAGUUUUAAGUUUGAAAGAUGCAAUUGCAUCACUCAAAGAUGAUCCCGCGUUGUAUUAGCUAGUUGGUGAGGUAAAGGCUCACCAAGGCGAUGAUACAUAGCCGACCUGAGAGGGGGAUCGGCCACAGUGGGACUGAGACACGGCCCAAACUGCGACGGGAGGCAGCAGUAGGGAAUCUUCGGCAACGGACGAAAGUCUGACCGAGCAACGCCGCGUGAGUGAAGAAGGUUUUCGGAUCGUAAAACUCUGUUGGUAGAGAAGAACGUUGGUGAGAGUGGAAAGCUCAUCAAGUGACGGUAACUACCCAGAAAGGGACGGCUAACUACGUG
rnacentral:rRNA from 1 species